rnacentral:rRNA from 1 species
GGGGAAUUUUCCGCAAUGGGCGAAAGCCUGACGGAGCAACGCCGCGUGAGGGAGGAAGGUCUUUGGAUUGUAAACCUCUUUUCUCAAGGAAGAAGUUCUGACGGUACUUGAGGAAUCAGCCUCGGCUAACUCCGUGCCAGCAGCCGCGGUAAUACGGGGGAGGCAAGCGUUAUCCGGAAUUAUUGGGCGUAAAGCGUCCGCAGGUGGUCAGCCAAGUCUGCUGUCAAAUCAGGUUGCUUAACGACCUAAAGGCGGUGGAAACUGGCAGACUAGAGAGCAGUAGGGGUAGCAGGAAUUCCCAGUGUAGCGGUGAAAUGCGUAGAGAUUGGGAAGAACAUCGGUGGCGAAAGCGUGCUACUGGGCUGUAUCUGACACUCAGGGACGAAAGCUAGGGGAGCGAAAGGGAUUAGAUACCCCUGUAGUC